rnacentral:lncRNA from 1 species
UUGUGUUUGCUUUGGAUUAUGGAUUACAUUCUUUCCUGAUAGCCAGGUGUGCUUGACAAUUUAUUUCAAAGAGAAUGCUUACCAUGAUGGAUCUUAAUAUCAGCUUGAUAGUAUUCCAGGUGAAUCCUCUUUUACUGCUGGUGAAAGAAUGUGUGAGAUGGUCAAGGUUGGUCACUUUUUAUUUUUCUAUUUAUUGGUGGGCACUUUUUAUUUGGAGACCUUUUAUCCCCUUCUCAGUGGUGAGAGAAAGCAACAUCUAAAGUCCUACAGCAUACUGUUUUCUAAUGAAAUAUUAUCUUUUAAUAUUAGCUUUUUGAAUUUUUCUUUUUAUUACCCAUGGAGUCACAGAUCCCGCGCAAAAGUUUUUUUUUUUGGGUUCUAUGUAGCAUGCUAGAGAAAUCACAAUCAUCCAUGCUUCCUUGCAUGUGCAUCGUAUGUGCCACAGAGUGGUUGGUAUAGCCCAUGAGAGCAAGUACAUUAAAGACUUUAUUUUUACACCAUUGUGAAUGUAUGGGUGUGAGGGGGAUCCUUAGCACAAAGGUAUGGUUGCUCCACUAUGACCUGGAUGUCAUGGGUUCGAAACAUGGAAAUAACCUCUUCACAUGCAAGGGUAAAGUACAUACAUUUGAUUCUCUUUGGACCCGUAAAGGUGGGUGCCUCGUGCAUUGGGCCGCUCUUUUUUAUGAAUGUAUGGGUGUGUGCAUGCACAUGCUCAUAUUUUUAUGGGUAGGUGUUGGAGCUUAGAGUCAUGGUUUGGUAAGUACAUGCAAACAACUGUUCAUGCCACUGUUACCAAACUGAGAAACAGGGCGAGAAAGGAGCCUGGAAACAUUGCAGUUGUCAACGUCGUAGUUAGUAAUCCAACAGUAGCAGGGCAUGAAUAAGUAAAUGAGAGCAAAAUCUGAUCAAACAUUUCUGGAUGAAGUCCUCAAGUAGUUAGGAUGUCAACAUAUUUACAUCAGCUUCUUCCUAUCCCAUUUGUUCAAGGUUGGGUAUAGUCCACACACAGAAUAAGGAAGAAUCUUAGUUGCGCACUUCCAUAAACAUUAGCUGCCACUGAUGGUUGGCCUUCUGGGGCGUGGGCUUUGUUGGAAAAUGGCUGGCUGGUAAGAAAUUA